rnacentral:rRNA from 1 species
CAGAAAGUUACAAGCAACAGUGUGGAUGCCUUGGCGACAUCUGGCGAAGAAGGACGCGACAAGCUGCGAUAAGCCCUGGGGAGCCGCAAAUAGGCCGAUCCAGGGAUUUCCGAAUGGGGAAACCCCGUCAGCAAUGACGAUCCCGCGCUGAAUACAUAGGCGCGAGGAAGCGAACCCGCUGAAGUGAAACAUCUCAGUAAGCGGAGGAAAAGAAAGAGAAUCGAUUCCCUCAGUAGUGGCGAACGAAAGGGGAACAGCCCAAACCAGGAGGACUUGUCCUCCUGGGGUCGUAGGGCCUCGAUGUGAGACUGAAGAGGUUAGGCGAAGCGUUUGAAUGACGCGUCAAAGAGGGUGAGAACCCCGUAGCCAAAAACCCGAUCAGCUCUAGAGGUACCCUGAGUAGCACCGGACACGUGAAACCCGGUGUGAAGUCACGCAGACCACUGCGUAAGGCUAAAUACACGAUGUCGACCGAUAGUGAAGAGUACCGCGAGGGAAAGGUGAAAAGCACCCCUGUUAGGGGAGUGAAAAGUACCUGAAACCUGUUGCUUACAAGCGGUCGGAGCCCCCUCGUGGGGUGACGGCGUACCUUUUGCAUAAUGGGUCUGGGAGUUAACGUAAGGAGCCAGCCUAAGGUCCCUCAGGACCGGAGGCGCAGCGAAAGCGAGUCUGAACAGGGCGUUUAGUUCCUUGCGUUAUACCCGAAGCGGAGGUGAUCUACCCAUGACCAGGUUGAAGCCCAAGUAACAUUGGGUGGAGGACCGAACUGAUGGCACUUGAGAAUGCCCCGGAUGAGUUGUGGGUAGGAGUGAAAGGCUAAUCAAACCCCGUAAUAGCUGGUUCUCUCCGAAAUAUAUUUAGGUAUAGCGUCCAGCGCUGACCCGUGGGGGUAGAGCACUGAAAAGGCUAGGGGACACACCCGUCUACCAACCCUUAUCAAACUCCGAAUACCACGGGGCGAAGCUGGGCAGUCAGGCAGUGGGGGAUAAGCUUCAUUGCCGAGAGGAAAACAGUCCAGACCACCAAUUAAGGCCCCAAAGACGUAGCUAAGUGGAUUAAAGAAUGUGAACUUGCACAGACAAUAGGGAUGUUGGCUUAGAGGCAGCCACCAUUUAAACAGUGCGUAACAGCUGACCUAUCGAGUGAGUUUGCGUCUAAGAUGAUCGGGACUAAGCGACGCGCCGAAGUUGUGGGCUGCAGCAAUGCAGCGGUAGGAGAGCGUUCCAGCAGCGGCGAAGCGGAAGCGGCAAGCGACCGUGGAGCGGCUGGAAGUGAGUAUCCAGACAUAAGUAACGAUAAGAAUGGUUGAAAUCCAUUCCGCCGUAAGGAUAAGGUUUCCAGGACAAGGGUCGUCCUUCCUGGGUUAGUCGGGAGCUAAGCUGAGGCCGUAAGGAGUAAGCGAUGCACAUCAGGUUAAUAUUCCUGAACCAAGUAGAGAGGACGGGAUCAUGGAGUCAGCAGACCUAAUUGACUUGGCAGUCCAAAGCUACGGCUGAGGACGCGCUGGCGAAAUGAUCUCCAGGAAAAGCCUCUACAUUAAGCCCGUACCGCAAACCGACACAGGUAUCCGAGAUGAGCAUUCUAAGGCGCGUGAGUUAAACCUCCUCAAGGAACUCGACAAAUUAACCCCGUAUCUUCGGUAUAAGGGGUGCUCCGGGCAACCGGAGUCGCAGUGAAGAGGCCCUACCGACUGUUUAGCAAAAACACAGCUCUCUGCUAAGUCGCAAGACGACGUAUAGGGAGUGACGUGUGACCAAUGCGGAAAGGUGAAAGCUGGAGCUGCAAGGUUCCGGUCUAAGCCCCCGUGAAUGUCGGCCGUAACUAUAACGGUCCUAAGGUAGCGAAAUUCCUUGUCGGGUAAGUUCCGACCUGCACGAAUCACGUAACGAGUAGGGCAUUGUCUCGAGGAGGGGCUCAGUGAAAUUGUAGCCGCGGUGAAGAUGCCGCGUUCCCGCAGCAGGACGGAAAGACCCUAUAGACCUUUACUGUAACCUGGGAACUGCCGCUUAUCGUGACUGGGAAAC